GAAACUCAGGCUAAUACCGCAUGAGCCCUUCGGGGGAAAGCAGGGGAUCUUCGGACCUUGCGCUAUUGGAUGAGCCUAUGUCUGAUUAGCUUGUUGGUGGGGUAACGGCCUACCAAGGCGACGAUCAGUAGCUGGUCUGAGAGGACGAUCAGCCACACUGGGACUGAGACACGGCCCAGACUCCUACGGGAGGCAGCAGUGGGGAAUAUUGGACAAUGGGCGCAAGCCUGAUCCAGCAAUGCCGCGUGUGUGAAGAAGGCCUGCGGGUUGUAAAGCACUUUCAGUGGGGAGGAAAAGCCUAAGAUUAAUACUCUUGGGUCUUGACGUUAUCCACAGAAGAAGCACCGGCUAACUCUGUGCCAGCAGCCGCGGUAAUACAGAGGGUGCAAGCGUUAAUCGGAAUUACUGGGCGUAAAGCGCGCGUAGGCGGUUUGUUAAGUCGGAUGUGAAAGCCCCGGGCUCAACCUGGGAACUGCAUUCGAUACUGGCAGGCUGGAGUAUGGUAGAGGGAAGUGGAAUUCCGGGUGUAGCGGUGAAAUGCGUAGAUAUCCGGAGGAACAUCAGUGGCGAAGGCGGCUUCCUGGACC
rnacentral:rRNA from 1 species